rnacentral:rRNA from 1 species
AUUGAACGCUGGCGGAAUGCUUUACACAUGCAAGUCGAACGGCAGCACGGGGCAACCUGGUGGCGAGUGGCGAACGGGUGAGUAAUAUAUCGGAACGUGCCCAAUCGUGGGGGAUAACGUAGCGAAAGUUACGCUAAUACCGCAUACGAUCUACGGAUGAAAGCGGGGGAUCGCAAGACCUCGCGCGAAUGGAGCGGCCGAUAUCAGAUUAGGUAGUUGGUGGGGUAAAGGCUCACCAAGGCGACGAUCUGUAGCGGGUCUGAGAGGAUGAUCCGCCACACUGGAACUGAGACACGGUCCAGACUCCUACGGGAGGCAGCAGUGGGGAAUUUUGGACAAUGGGCGCAAGCCUGAUCCAGCCAUGCCGCGUGAGUGAAGAAGGCCUC